GAAUAUAAACUUGUAACAAUUAGGUGAAACUCAUUUAUAUUCUAGCAUCUAAUUCAUGUAUGAAAACUAAGUAUUCAUCCUUAAUAAACAUACAAGAAUCAGUUAUGAAGAAAAUAGAUAAUUGAAUUGCAAUCAUAACUUAUCAAAUCACAAUUGGAAGAAAUCAAUUCAUAUCACAAGCAUGUUCAUGGCUUCAAACUUCCCCCUAACUAAAUAGGAGUUUAGUUCCUCAUGUUCACAAAACAAAGAUAAAUAGAAUUAUACAUUGAAAACAAAAGAAAGAAAACA
rnacentral:lncRNA from 1 species